rnacentral:rRNA from 1 species
AUUGAACGCUGGCGGCAGGCUUAACACAUGCAAGUCGAGCGGGGGAGGUUGCUUCGGUAACUGACCUAGCGGCGGACGGGUGAGUAAUGCUUAGGAAUCUGCCUAUUAGUGGGGGACAACAUUCCGAAAGGGAUGCUAAUACCGCAUACGCCCUACGGGGGAAAGCAGGGGAUCUUCGGACCUUGCGCUAAUAGAUGAGCCUAAGUCGGAUUAGCUAGUUGGUAGGGUAAAGGCCUACUAAGGCGACGAUCUGUAGCGGGUCUGAGAGGAUGGUCCGCCACGCUGGGACUGAGACACAGCCCAGACUCCUACGGGAGGCAGCAGAGGGAAUAUUGGACAAUGGGCGGAAGCCUGAUCCAGCCAUGCCGCGUGUGUGAAGAAGGCCUUUUGGUUGUAAAGCACUUUAAGCGAGGAGGAGGCUCUUAAGGUUAAUACCCUUGAUGAGUGGACGUUACUCGCAGAAUAAGCACCGGCUAACUCUGUGCCAGCCGCCGCAGUAAAAC